GUGGGGAAUAUUGCGCAAUGGGCGGAAGCCUGACGCAGCGACGCCGCGUGGGGGAUGAAGGCCUUCGGGUUGUAAACCUCUUUCACCACCGACGAAGCUAACGUGACGGUAGGUGGGGAAGAAGCGCCGGCUAACUACGUGCCAGCAGCCGCGGUAAUACGUAGGGCGCAAGCGUUGUCCGGAAUUAUUGGGCGUAAAGAGCUCGUAGGCGGUCUGUCGCGUCUGCCGUGAAAACCCGAGGCUUAACCUCGGGCUUGCGGUGGAUACGGGCAGACUAGAGGUAGGUAGGGGAGAACGGAAUUCCCGGUGUAGCGGUGAAAUGCGCAGAUAUCGGGAGGAACACCGGUGGCGAAGGCGGUUCUCUGGGCCUUACCUGACGCUGAGGAGCGAAAGCGUGGGGAGCGAACAGGAUUAGAUACCCGAGUAGUCC
rnacentral:rRNA from 1 species